UACAUGUUGCAGAGCAACUACGCCUGUGCUCUAGAGCCUGGCAGCCACAAGUCCUGAGCCCACAAGCCAUGACUACUGAAGCCUGAGAGCCCUAGAGCCCGGGUUUCACAUCAAGAGAAGCCACUGCAGUGAGAAGCCUGUGCACCGCAACUGGAGAGUAGCCCCUGCUUGCUGCAACUAGAGAAAGCCCGUGGAGCAAUGAAGACAUAAAUAAAUAAAACCUUGUCCCAAAGAAGGAGAAGUCCAACCUUGGCCUCAGAAGGCAUCUCAGUGGGCUUCAAAGACUUCCCAACUGUCAUCCUUGCUGUAGGAUGCCAAAGAAGCCACCUCCAGCCAGACAGCCUCAUUUCAGCAGGAAAGGUCUCCAACUUUAAGUACUCACAGAUGGCUACUCUAUGGGACAACACGAUCCUAGAACAGUGGUUCUCAGCUCAGGCUGCACAUUUGAAUCCUCUAGAUGUUUGAAAAAGUCUUGAAGAUCUGAUCUCAAGCAAUUUAAAUCCUGGCAUGAGAGGUAAGAGCUCCCGAGCUGAUGGUAACCUGUAGCCAAGGUUGGGGGCUGCUGCUCAGAAAUGGGAGGGACU
rnacentral:lncRNA from 1 species